rnacentral:rRNA from 1 species
GACAGAGGUGCCGAGCGUUAGGCGGAAUCACUGGGCUUAAAGCGUGUGUAGGCGGACCGUUAAGUACCUUGUGAAAUCCCACGGCUCAACCGUGGAACCGCUGGGUAUACUGGCGGUCUUGAGGCACCCAGGGGCUGUCGGAACAAGCGGUGGAGCGGUGAAAUGCGUAGAUAUCGUCAGGAACGCCAACGGCGAAAGCAGGCUGCUGGGGAUGCAUUGACGCUGAGGCACGAAAGCCAGGGUAGCGAACGGG